AAAGCGCGCCCUCCAUUCGCACUGCUUGUUGGGCUCAUCAUGAAGCGCUUGGGCUCCGUGCAGCGGAAAAUACCGUGUGUGUUUGUGACGGAGGUGAAAGAGGAGCCUUCCUCCAAAAGGGAGCAUCAGCCAUUUAAAGUUUUGGCAACUGAAACUAUAAGUCACAAGGCAUUAGAUGCAGAUAUAUACAGUGCAAUUCCAACAGAAAAAGUGGAUGGAACAUGUUGUUAUGUUACUACCUAUAAAGAUCAGCCAUACCUUUGGGCUCGACUAGAUAGAAAACCCAACAAACAAGCUGAAAAAAGAUUUAAAAAUUUUCUACAUUCAAAAGAAAACCCAAAAGAAUUUUUUUGGAAUGUUGAGGAGGACUUCAAACCAGCUCCAGAGUGCUGGAUACCAGCAAAGGAGACAGAACAAAUAAAUGGGAACCCAGUGCCUGAUGAAAAUGGACACAUUCCUGGUAUCAUGAUAUCUCUUCUAGUGCAGUUUUGUGUUUACUAGUAAAAUGAUCAAAAUAUCCAUUCAAUCAGAAAUUACAGAAUUUUAAUCUGGGUCUUCAUUAAUAUGUAUAGCACAGAAUUUC
rnacentral:sRNA from 1 species